rnacentral:rRNA from 1 species
AUUGAACGCUGGCGGCAUGCCUUACACAUGCAAGUCGAACGGCAGCGGACCUUCGGGUGCCGGCGAGUGGCGAACGGGUGAGUAAUGCAUCGGAACGUGCCAUUGAGUGGGGGAUAACGUAGCGAAAGUUACGCUAAUACCGCAUAUUCUGUGAGCAGGAAAGCAGGGGACCGCAAGGCCUUGCGCUCUUUGAGCGGCCGAUGUCAGAUUAGCUAGUUGGUGAGGUAAAGGCUUACCAAGGCGACGAUCUGUAGCGGGUCUGAGAGGAUGAUCCGCCACACUGGAACUGAGACACGGUCCAGACUCCUACGGGAGGCAGCAGUGGGGAAUUUUGGACAAUGGGCGCAAGCCUGAUCCAGCCAUGCCGCGUGAGUGAAGAAGGCCUUCGGUUGUAAAGCUCUUCGGUCCGGAAGAAAUCGCAUGGGUUAAUACCCGUGUGUGG